UUUGAUGGAGCCGAGCCGGAGCGGCCGGUCUACGGGGCGGUCCUGCCCGUAGGCGGCCAGCACGGCCUGGGCCUC
rnacentral:antisense_RNA from 1 species